UGGGGUGACACCUUAUAAAAGGUGUAAAAGGGAAUCAGGUGAAAGUCCUGAACAGUGCCCGCUACUGUAAGUUCCUUUAUGUGAAGCCAAAAAGGCCACUGUCUUUGUGGAUGGGAAGGCCGGUUUCUCGGAACAAGUCAGGAAACCUGCCCCGGCU
rnacentral:ncRNA from 1 species